rfam:Otolemur garnettii contig129360, whole genome shotgun sequence.
AUCGCUUCUUGGCCUUUUGGCUAAGAUCAAGUGUAAUAAUUUUCCAUUUCUAAGAUCCCGUAGAGCCACUUUCACAUAGAGAACAUCCUAUAAAUGUAUAAAGUUAAAUCCCUUAAAAAAACUUGUUUUACAUAAGGAAUAUAUACCUAUGUUGUAAAGAAUAUACAGUGGGCAGAGACUAUAGUGGGUAUUUGUAAU